UGGGGAAUUUUGGACAAUGGGCGAAAGCCUGAUCCAGCAAUGCCGCGUGUGUGAAGAAGGCCUUCGGGUUGUAAAGCACUUUUGUCCGGAAAGAAAUCCUUGGCUCUAAUACAGUCGGGGGAUGACGGUACCGGAGGAAUAAGCACCGGCUAACUACGUGCCAGCAGCCGCGGUAAUACGUAGGGUGCAAGCGUUAAUCGGAAUUACUGGGCGUAAAGCGUGCGCAGGCGGUUUGCUAAGACCGAUGUGAAAUCCCCGGGCUCAACCUGGGAACUGCAUUGGUGACUGGCAGGCUAGAGUAUGGCAGAGGGGGGUAGAAUUCCACGUGUAGCAGUGAAAUGCGUAGAGAUGUGAGAAUACCGAUGGCGAAGGCAGCCCCCUGGGCCAAUACUGACGCUCAUGCACGAAAGCGUGGGGAGCAAACAGGAUUAGAUACCCUGGUAGUCCACGCCCUAAACGAUGUCAACUAGUUGUUGGGGAUUCAUUUCCUAGUAACGUAGCUACGCGUGAAGUUGACCGCCUGGGGAGUACGGUCGCAAGAUU
rnacentral:rRNA from 1 species